CGUUGAAACAGUGGUUCUUGUACGAUCAGCGAAGUUAAGUAACAUCGAGCCUAGUCAGUACCUUGAUGGGUGACCGCUUGGGAAGACCAGAUAUUGCAAG